AGAGUUUGAUCAUGGCUCAGGAUGAACGCUAGCGGCAGGCCUAAUACAUGCAAGUCGAACGAGAUUAGUAGCAAUACUAUGAAAGUGGCGCACGGGUGCGUAACACGUAUGCAAUCUACCUUUAAUUGGAGGAUAGCCUCGAGAAAUCGGGAUUAAUACUCCAUAACAUUAUGAAAUGGCAUCAUUUUAUAAUUAAACCUCCGGGGAUUAAAGAUGAGCAUGCGCAACAUUAGCUAGUUGGUAAGGUAAUGGCUUACCAAGGCUACGAUGUUUAGGGGGGUCUGAGAGGAUGAUCCCCCACACUGGUACUGAGACACGGACCAGACUCCUACGGGAGGCAGCAGUAGGGAAUAUUGGGCAAUGGAGGAAACUCUGACCCAGCCAUGCCGCGUGCAGGAUGACGGCCCUCUGGGUUGUAAACUGCUUUUAUACGGGAAGAAAAAAUGCUACGUGUAGCACAUUGACGGUACCGUAAGAAUAAGGAUCGGCUAACUCCGUGCCAGCAGCCGCGGUAAUACGGAGGAUCCAAGCGUUGUCCGGAUUUAUUGGGUUUAAAGGGUGCGUAGGCGGAUCUUUAAGUCAGUGGUGAAAGCCUGCAGCUCAACUGUAGAACAGCCAUUGAAACUGAAGAUCUUGAAUAUGGUUAAAGUAGGCGGAAUGUAUCAUGUAGCGGUGAAAUGCUUAGAUAUGAUACAGAACACCGAUAGCGAAGGCAGCUUGCUGAACCAUUAUUGACGCUGAGGCACGAAAGCGUGGGGAGCAAACAGGAUUAGAUACCCUAGUAGUCC
rnacentral:rRNA from 1 species